GAUGAACGCUGGCGGCGGGCCUAAUACAUGCAAGUCGAGCGAAAGGACGAGAAGCUUGCGUCUUUGCUGUUGGCGGCGGACGGGUGAGUAACACGUGGAUAACCUACUUAUUAGACUGGGGUAACUUCGGGAAACCGUAGCUACUACUGGCGAAUACUACGUACGGCAGGGAUCAAAAGUGAAAGACGGUCUGGCUGUCACUUAUAGAUGGAUCCGCGCUGCAUUAGCGAGUUGGUAAGGUAACGGCUUACCAAGGCAACGAUGCAUAGCCGACCUGAGAGGGUGAUCAGCCACACUGGAACUGAGACACGGUCCAGACUCCUACGGGAGGCAGCAGUAGGGAAUAUUGCGCAAUGGGCGAAAGCCUGAUGCAGCAACACCGCGUGAGUGAUGAAGGCCUUCGGGUCGUAAAACUCUGUUAUUGGGAAAGAACAUAUGUGUAAGUAACUGUGGCCGUCCUGACGGUACCUAAUGAGUAAGCACCGGCUAACUACGUG
rnacentral:rRNA from 1 species